rnacentral:rRNA from 1 species
CCUACGGUGUGCUGCAGUGGGGAAUAUUGGACAAUGGGCGAAAGCCUGAUCCAGCCAUGCCGCGUGUGUGAAGAAGGCCUUCGGGUUGUAAAGCACUUUCAGUGGGGAAGAAAGCCUUGGGGCUAAUACCCUCGAGGAAGGACAUCACCCACAGAAGAAGCACCGGCUAACUCCGUGCCAGCAGCCGCGGUAAUACGGAGGGUGCGAGCGUUAAUCGGAAUUACUGGGCGUAAAGCGCGCGUAGGCGGUCUGAUAAGCCGGUUGUGAAAGCCCCGGGCUCAACCUGGGAACGGCAUCCGGAACGGUCAGGCUAGAGUGCAGGAGAGGAAGGUAGAAUUCCCGGUGUAGCGGUGAAAUGCGUAGAGAUCGGGAGGAAUACCAGUGGCGAAGGCGGCCUUCUGGACUGACACUGACGCUGAGGUGCGAAAGCGUGGGUAGCAAACAGGAUUAGAUACCCUUGUAGUC